rnacentral:rRNA from 1 species
GUAGUCCACGCCGUAAACGAUGGAUACUAGCUGUUGGAGGUAUCGACCCCUUCAGUAGCGAAGCUAACGCGUUAAGUAUCCCGCCUGUGGAGUACGGUCGCAAGACUAAAACAUAAAGGAAUUGACGGGGACCCGCACAAGCGGUGGAUCGUGUUCUUUAAUUCGAUGAUAAACGAAGAACCUUACCAGGGUUUGACAUCCUUGGAAUUUCUGUGAAAGCAGAGAGUGCUUUAUUGAGCCAAGUGACAGGUGAUGCAUGGCCGUCGUCAGCUCGUGUCGUGAGAUGUUUGGUUAAGUCCAUCAACGAGCGCAACCCUUGUGAAUAGUUGUAUUUUUCUAUUCAGACUGCCCCGGUAACGGGGAGGAAGGAGGGGAUGAUGUCAGGUCAGUAUUUCCCUUACACCCUGGGCUAGAAACACGAUACAAUGGUUAGUACAAUGCGCAGCGAAGCCGCGAGGUGGAGCAAAUCGCAUCAAAGCUAAGCUCAGUUCGGAUAAGAGGCUGAAACUCGCCUCUUUGAAGUCGGAAUCGCUAGUAAUCGCAAAUCAGCAAGUUGCGGUGAAUACGUUCCCGGGUCUUGUACACACCGCCCGUCAAACCAUGAAAGUCACCAACACCCGAAGUCCGAUUCGUCGGCCUAAGGUGGGGGGGAUGAUUGGGGUU